rnacentral:rRNA from 1 species
GACGAACGCUGGCGGCGUGCCUAAUACAUGCAAGUCGAGCGAAGUUUUUCUGGUGCUUGCACCGGAAAAACUUAGCGGCGAACGGGUGAGUAACACGUAAAGAACCUGCCUUAUAGACUGGGACAACUAUUGGAAACGAUAGCUAAUACCGGAUAACAGUAUUAACUGCAUGGUUGAUGUUUGAAAGUUGGUUUUGCUAACACUAUGAGAUGGCUUUGCGGUGCAUUAGCUAGUUGGUGGGGUAAAGGCCUACCAAGGCAACGAUGCAUAGCCGACCUGAGAGGGUGAUCGGCCACACUGGAACUGAGACACGGCCCAGACUCCUACGGGAGGCAGCAGUAGGGAAUCUUCCGCAAUGGGCGAAAGCCUGACGGAGCAACGCCGCGUGAGUGAAGAAGGAUUUCGGUUCGUAAAGCUCUGUUAUUAGGGAAGAAUGAUUGUGUAGUAACUAUACACAGUAGAGACGGUACCUAACCAGAAAGCCACGGCUAACUACGUG